rnacentral:rRNA from 1 species
UACGGAGGAUGCAAGCGUUAUCCGGAUUUAUUGGGUUUAAAGGGUGCGUAGGCGGGCGCGUAAGUCAGCGGUGAAAUACCCCUGCUCAACAGGGGGGCUGCCGUUGAUACUGCGUGUCUAGAGUGCGAACGGCGCCGGCGGAAUGUGUCAUGUAGCGGUGAAAUGCAUAGAGAUGACACAGAACACCGAUCGCGAAGGCAGCUGGCGAGCACGACACUGACGCUGAGGCACGAAGGUGCGGGGAUCGAAC